UACGGAGGGUGCAAGCGUUGUUCGGAUUCAUUGGGCGUAAAGGGAGCGUAGGUGGCGGGGUAAGUCAGGUGUGAAAUCUCGGGGCUCAACCCCGAAACUGCACUUGAUACUGCCUUGCUCGAGUACUGGAGAGGAGAUUGGAAUUUACGGUGUAGCAGUGAAAUGCGCAGAUAUCAGGAAGAACACCCGUGGCGAAAGCGGCUCUCUGGAACGGUACUGACGCUGAGACGCGAAAGCGUGGGGAGCGAACAGG
rnacentral:rRNA from 1 species